UACGAAGGGGGCUAGCGUUGUUCGGAAUCACUGGGCUUAAAGGGCGCGUAGGCGGCUCUCAAAGUCCGGGGUGAAAUCCUCCAGCUCAACUGGAGAAGGGCCUUGGAAACUAGAGGUCUCGAGGGAGGUAGGGGUCCGUGGAACUUCGGGUGGAGCGGUGAAAUGCGUUGAUAUCCGAAGGAACGCCGGUGGCGAAAGCGACGGACUGGAUCUCUUCUGACGCUGAGGCGCGAAAGCCAGGGGAGCAAACGGG
rnacentral:rRNA from 1 species